GACGAACCGUGCGAACGUUGUUCGGAUUCACUGGGCUUAAAGGGCGCGUAGGCGGGCGACCAAGUCAGGGGUGAAAUCUUUCGGCCCAACCGGAAAAGUGCCCCUGAUACUGGCCGCCUCGAGGGGGGUAGGGCAUGCGGAACUUCCGGUGGAGCGGUGAAAUGCGUAGAUAUCGGAAGGAACGCCGGUGGCGAAAGCGGCGUGCUGGACCCCUUCUGACGCUGAGGCGCGAAAGCCAGGGGAGCAAACGGG
rnacentral:rRNA from 1 species